rnacentral:rRNA from 1 species
AUUGAACGCUGGCGGCAGGCCUAACACAUGCAAGUCGAGCGGAUGAAGGGAGCUUGCUCCUGGAUUCAGCGGCGGACGGGUGAGUAAUGCCUAGGAAUCUGCCUGGUAGUGGGGGAUAACGUCCGGAAACGGGCGCUAAUACCGCAUACGUCCUGAGGGAGAAAGUGGGGGAUCUUCGGACCUCACGCUAUCAGAUGAUCCUAGGUCGGAUUAGCUAGUUGGUGGGGUAAAGGCCUACCAAGGCGACGAUCCGUAACUGGUCUGAGAGGAUGAUCAGUCACACUGGAACUGAGACACGGUCCAGACUCCUACGGGAGGCAGCAGUGGGGAAUAUUGGACAAUGGGCGAAAGCCUGAUCCAGCCAUGCCGCGUGUGUGAAGAAGGGCUUCGGAUUGUAAAGCACUUUAAGUUGGGAGGAAGGGCAGUAAGUUAAUACCUUGCUGUUUUGACGUGACCAAAAGAAUAAGCACCGGCUAACUUCGUGC